GAUGAAGAACGUAGUGAAAUGCGAUACUUGGUGUGAAUUGCAGAAUCCCGUGAACCAUCGAGUCUUUGAACGCAAGUUGCGCCCGAAGCCAUUAGGCCGAGGGCACGCCUGCCUGGGCGUCACACGUCGUUGCCCCCCCAUCUACUCCUUCGGGAUUGCGGGGGGCGGAUGAUGGCCUCCCGUGCGCCUCGUCGCGCGGUUGGCAUAAAUGCCAAGUCCUCGGCGACGCACGCCACGACAAUCAGUGGUUGCGAAACCUCGGUUGCCCGUCGUGUGCGGUCGUCGCGCAUCGAGGGCUCGAAAAAAUUGCCGGGCUCCGGCUCGGCUUUCAACGCGACCCCAGGUCAGGCGGGGUUACCCGCUGAAUUUAAGCAUAUCAAUAAGCGGAGGA
rnacentral:misc_RNA from 1 species